rnacentral:rRNA from 1 species
UUGGAGGGCAAGUCUGGUGCCAGCAGCCGCGGUAAUUCCAGCUCCAAUAGCGUAUAUUAAAGUUGUUGCAGUUAAAAAGCUCGUAGUUGAAUUUCGGGAUCAAUAUGCCGGUCAUGCCUUGGUAUGCACUGGUAUCUUUGAUUUCUCCCUUCUGACGAACUUUGAUGCCAUUAAUUUGGUGUCAUAGGGAAUCAGGACUGUUACUUUGAAAAAAUUAGAGUGUUUAAAGCAAGCUCACGCUUGAAUACAUUAGCAUGGAAUAAUGAAAUAGGACGUUUGAUUCUAUUUUGUUGGUUUCUAGGAUCGACGUAAUGAUUAAUAGGGAUAGUCGGGGGCAUUAGUAUUCAAUUGUCAGAGGUGAAAUUCUUGGAUUUAUUGAAGACUAACUACUGCGAAAGCAUUUGCCAAGGAUGUUUUCAUUAAUCAAGAACGAAAGUUAGGGGAUCGAAGACGAUCAGAUACCGUCGUAGUCUUAACCAUAAACUAUGCCGACUAGGGAUCGGAUGAUGUUAAUUUUUUAAUGACUCAUUCGGCGCCUUACGGGAAAC